rnacentral:tRNA from 1 species
UGGGAGUUUAGCUCAGCUGGGAGAGCAUCUGCCUUACAAGCAGAGGGUCAGCGGUUCGAACCCGUUAACUACCAU